UACAGAGGUCUCAAGCGUUGUUCGGAUUCAUUGGGCGUAAAGGGUGCGUAGGCGGCGCGGUAAGUCGGGUGUGAAAUCUUGGAGCUUAACUCCGAAACUGCAUUCGAUACUGCCGUGCUUGAGGACUGGAGAGGAGACUGGAAUUUACGGUGUAGCGGUGAAAUGCGUAGAUAUCGUAAGGAAGACCAGUGGCGAAGGCGGGUCUCUGGACAGUUCCUGACACUGAGGCACGAAAGGCCAGGGGGAGCAAAACGGG
rnacentral:rRNA from 1 species